rnacentral:rRNA from 1 species
AUUGAACGCUGGCGGCAUGCUUAACACACGCAAGUCGAACGGUAACGGGCCCUUCGGGGUGCUGACGAGUGGCGGACGGGUGAGUAAUGCUUAGGAAUCUGCCUAGUAGUGGGGGGAUAACCCGGGGAAACUCGGGCUAAUACCGCAUACGCCCUACAGGGGAAAGCGGGGGACUUUCGGGCCUCGCGCUAUUAGAUGAGCCUAAGUCCGAUUAGCUAGUUGGUAGGGUAAUGGCCUACCAAGGCGACGAUCGGAGCUGGUCUGAGAGGACGACCAGCCACACUGGGACUGAGACACGGCCCAGACUCCUACGGGAGGCAGCAGUGGGGAAUAUUGGACAAUGGGCGCAAGCCUGAUCCAGUGAUGCCGCGUGUGUGAAGAAGGCCUGCGGGUUGU